rnacentral:rRNA from 1 species
AUUUAGGUUGCCGCUUGCCAAUCGUGUCUGAUCUCUGAAGCUAAGCAGGGUCAGGGUUGGUUAGUACUGGGGUGGGAGACCAAUAGCAAACCCUGAUCUAUAAGUA